rnacentral:rRNA from 1 species
UAGUCAAUGCUCGCAAGAGUGAACUAGCUAACUGAAAUCAAAGAGUUUAUUUAAACUCAUGAUGUCGUAAGGGAAAAUAAUGAUAAUACCUUACUAUUAGUGUCGUCCAAAUCUGGUGCCAGAAGACUCGGUAAGACCAGAGACGCAAACGUUAAUCAUCAUAAUCAGGCGUAAAGGGUUUGUAGGCAGCUCUCAAUUAAUUAAGAGCUAGAAUCAAAAAGAGGUUAUAGUGUAUAACGCCUAGAGGAGGGCUGAUAUCCAUAGAUCCUAGGCAGAAUACUCAGGGCGAAGGCCACUCUCCACUAAGAUUGACGCUGAGAAACGAAGGUUAGGGUAGGAAAUAGGAUUAGAUACCCCGGUACUCCUUUCUGUAAACGAUGAAUGGUAGUCAUUAGUUUUUUUACUAGAGACGAAGUUAACACAAUAACCAUUCCGCCUUGUGAGUACUACUGCAAAGUAGAAAACAAAAAAAUUAGUCGGUCUCGAAGCAAACGGAGUGAAGCAUGUUAUUUAAU